GGCCGCCGCCGCGUCCCUCCGUGUCAGCGCAUUUCCCUUUCUUCCCCGCUUCAAGAACAACUGAAGUGUGGGUAGGAGAGCCAUUUAGUCCCAACUAAAGACGAAAAUGUUUUUUCCUUCUGAUAAUGUUCCCUGUUCCGUCACUCGGUAUUAUGCUCCAUAAUGUGCCGCGUGCAGCCAUUUUGUCAUCGCUUUGGGUCAUCCUUGCUCACAAUUGGUUAUUUACUCAGGGGCUUUUGAAAUUAUUGAGUUGACACAUCUGUCAGACGGCAAAAGCAGAAAUGCUAAAAGGUCACUUGGAGAGAAACCAGCUGCUCCAGACAAACCUUUCUGCCUCCAAAUAGCACAAUCAUUACAGCCUGGCAGAUGGGGCCUUCGCUUUCACUUCAGACGCUCCCCUUGCCUUCAGGUAUUUAGCUACCCUACCUCAUUGCCAGGUCAGCCGGGCCUCCCUGUAAUUACCCACACAAUAGGCAUCUCUCUGCUUAAGAAGAACAGCUCUAUUUUCUCUAAAUAGGAAACCAGUUUCCUCACGGAUAUGAGCUACCCAACGCUUGCCACAAACUUUCCUGUUAACAGAUUCGUUUUGACAGUGGGAGCCCAGAGGACAUAUAACUCCAUGAAGUGAACUCUAAGAUUUUGAAGGAACUUCCUAC
rnacentral:lncRNA from 1 species